UACGAAGGGGGCUAGCGUUGUUCGGAUUUACUGGGCGUAAAGCGCACGUAGGCGGAUUGUUAAGUCGGGGGUGAAAUCCUGGAGCUCAACUUCAGAAUUGCCUUCGAUACUGGCUUUCUAGAGGCUGGAAGAGGUUAGUGGAAUUCCCAGUGUAGAGGUGAAAUUCGUAGAUAUUGGGAAGAACACCAGUGGCGAAGGCGGCUAACUGGUCCAGAUCUGACGCUGAGGUGCGAAAGCGUGGGGAGCAAAC
rnacentral:rRNA from 1 species